AGUGAACGCUGGCGGUAGGCCUAACACAUGCAAGUCGAACGGCAGCACAGUAAGAGCUUGCUCUUACGGGUGGCGAGUGGCGGACGGGUGAGGAAUACAUCGGAAUCUACUUUUUCGUGGGGGAUAACGUAGGGAAACUUACGCUAAUACCGCAUACGACCUACGGGUGAAAGCAGGGGAUCUUCGGACCUUGCGCGAUUGAAUGAGCCGAUGUCGGAUUAGCUAAUUGGCGGGGUAAAGGCCCACCAAGGCGACGAUCCGUAGCUGGUCUGAGAGGAUGAUCAGCCACACUGGAACUGAGACACGGUCCAGACUCCUACGGGAGGCAGCAGUGGGGAAUAUUGGACAAUGGGCGCAAGCCUGAUCCAGCCAUACCGCGUGGGUGAAGAAGGCCUUCGGGUUGUAAAGCCCUUUUGUUGGGAAAGAAAAGCAGCAGGUUAAUACCCCGCUGUUCUGACGGUACCCAAAGAAUAAGCACCGGCUAACUUCGUG
rnacentral:rRNA from 1 species